CCUCUUCCCGUCCAGGUCGGAAAACCAGCCCAGGUUGUCUGCGAUGAUGUGGUGGUUCUGGCAGCCAGGGCAGGUCACAAUGACCACGCCCUGGUGAUAGGCCAGCUUUGAGAUGCGCUUGGAGGUCCUUGUCCCACAGACCUGGCUGGGGCAAGGCAGCGUCAGGCCCGCAGCUGCACCCCCGGGCAGGCCCCGCCCCGGGCAGCCUCUCCUCUUGGCGCCCUCUAGCAGCAGGAGCGGCCCACCUUGUCCCGGCUGUGUGCUCACCCUGCAGGUGUAGACCAGCUGGUAAUGCGUAGUUUCCACGUGCCCCAGCGCCGCUGCGGGCCCCGACCCGGAACUCGAGCACCGCCACCCCCAGGCCCAGGUCCGCCGCUUCCCUGCGGCCUCCCGGCGGGUGCCGCUGCCCCACAGGCACCUCAGGACAGACCCCCGGGGCCUCUCGACGCUCAGAAGCACCGGCACACGGCCCAGCACCGCCCGCAGCAUUCCGCCCGCCCGCCCAGGCCGUUCUUGCCAGCCCCGCCCCGCGUGACUGAGGCCGCUUCCGCCAUGUUGGAAGUGGGCACCCGGACGGACGUGGCCCUCCUUGGCUUCCGCCCCCGGCCCCGGCGCGCCGCGCUCUGCUGCCCCCUGGUGCCGCCCUGCGGCGCGGGCUGACUGCGCGAGUCCGCUCGCUCCCGGGUUAUUUUUAUUUACUUGGCUGCACUUUCCGGUAUUUCCACAAAGCGAGUGUAGCGUACAAUAAGAACAGGACGCGCAUUUAAAAAGUACAUCGGAGCGCGGGCAGCCGCACGGAGCCAGUCCAGCUCAUUCACCGAGGCCGGGUCAGCCACGGCGCCGAGCAGGCCGCAGGUGCGGGGAGUGCGGGCCGCCCCACGACGGUCCCGGCGGACUAGGAGCCCUCGGUGUCGGUGUUGUCGCUGCCGGUGGUGUUCCCGCGGUCCCCCUCGCCCUGCCGCCAGCCGUUCUGCAUCUUCCUGAGCGCUCGCUUCCUGUGGGACGCCGCAGCUCCCGGACCCGCCUGCGCAGUUCGUCCUUCUCCUGCAGGCUCCGCGCACACUGCGUGUGAAGCUCCUCCCGAGAGGCCAUGGCCUGGGGAUGGCAGGUGCACACCUGAGUCCAGGGCUGGCCAGGUGACUCCCAGGAGUCUGGUUUUGGCGUUCCUGACACAUAUGGCCCUGACGGAAGUGCCAACUGUUGACUGGAAGUUGUUUGGGAAACAGGGAGGCAGAUAGAUGCAGCCCUACGUUGGGAUGAUCUGUCCCAUUCACAAGAACUCGGACAGACCAGUUGCCCACAAUUCUUUUAAGUUAAAAUAAGGUACUUGCAACUGAGUGCAUUGGGGCACACCUAUAAUCCUGGCUACUCAGGAGGCUGAGGCAGGAGGAUCACUAGUUUGAAGCCAACUGGUCAAAAAAAACUCUGCCUCAAAACAAAAACAGAAAAGACUGGGGUGCAGGUAG